CCCAAUCCCACACGGGUCCGCAGGGGGCUCCCUGUUCUUCUUUUUUCCCCCGAUCACCUCGUCGCGCGCUGCUCUUUCUCCUCCCGCCAUAUAUCCUCCCGCCCACCUACCUAGCCCGGCCAGCCACCUCACCUCUCCGUCCGCCGCAUCCCUGCCGCCUUACAACUCCUCCUAUGGUCGACGCCCUCCUGACUUCUUACGCCGCCGCCCCUAAUCUCCUCCUGCUACCAGUGGCCAAGGGAUCCAGAGGUGGCGGCGCCCCCUGCCGUUGCUCCCAUCGCACCCCCUGCCGGUCCACUCGCACCUCCCGCCGUUCCCCUCACCAGCUGCCCCGUGCCUCGCGCCGGCAGCCACCGGAUCCAGAGGUGGGCGGUGCGGGCGCGCCACCUACCGCAUCCCUGCCGCCUUCCAUCUCCUCCUAUGGCGUCCCCCCCCCCGCCCCCUCGCCUCCUCCCGCUGCUCACCUGCGCCCGGUGAGGCUGCUGCUGCUGCACGCCAAAGAUGGAUUGCUCUAGUGAUGAUGAGCUUGAGCAAUGGUUGGAGGAAGAGGACAAGAUUGCUGCUAAUGAUGAUGAUUUGUACAUCUGCAUUGCUCUUUCCGAAGCCGAGGAAGAGGAAAAGAGGAACAAGAAGAAAUGGCGUGGAGCAAUAGCAAGGCAUGCAGUGGUUCCAAGGGACUGGUUUGGUUCCAACUUGCGAAUUGUGGUGUAGUAUUUUACAAAUCCUCCAGUGUACAAUGACAAGUUCUUUAGGAGGAGGUUUAGAAUGUCGAAGAAUCUUUUCUUGCGCCUAGUGGAUAAGGUUGAGAGCCAUGAUGAUUACUUGUGGCAGAGGGCAAAUGCAGUAGGUCUUCUUGGGGCGACUCUAGUUCAAAAGAUUGUUGGUGUGUUCCGCAUGCUUGCAUAUGGUGUUCCAGCUGACAAUGUUGAUGAUGUUGUGAGCCUAGCUGAGAGCACUAUGAAUGAAGCAAUGAAACACUUCGUGAGGGCUAUGGUUGAGAUAUUUGGAGAGCAAUACUUGAGGUCACCUACGGUGGAUGACACAAAAUGGUUAUUUGCUAUGAACAAGGCUGGAGGGUUUCCAGGUAUAUGCUUGGUUGUGUUGAUUGUAUGCACUGGAGGUAGAAGAAUUGCCCAACAGCUUGGAAAGGGAUGUACUCAAGACAUGUGGAUGGUCCAACAAUGAUCCUUGAAGCUGAUGCAUCACAAGAUUUGUGGAUAUGGCACUCUUUCUUUGGUCUCCCAGGUUCUCUAAAUGACAUCAAUGUUUUGCAAAGAUCGCCAUUGUUUCAACGGCUUACCUCAGGGACAUCUCCGGAGGUGGAGUAUGAGGUUAAUGGUAACAAGUAUACUACGAGGCUUGUUCAUAUUUAGGAGGUAAGGAUGAAAAUAUCUCUAGAAACUGCACCUACUCAAAGGCCACGCGGUGUCCUUGGUAUAUGGAGCCCUGUCCUAUCUGCUGUGGGCAAUGCAUUCAAAAUUCAGGUAACAUAACAUUAUUUACUGGCAAAUCAUUCUGGAGCCAAAGCAAAGUUGACUUAUGUACCGAAUCAUAUUUCUUGUCCAAUGCCCAUCUAACUCACUAAGGUUAUGAUGUAAACCUUGGUCCACAUCGGGAAAUACCAGACGUACUUAAAUGCUAUCAUCUUCUAUUUUUUAUUUGAGCUCUUCCUAACUAAUAAAAUCUAUAGCGUCAAGAACUGGAACAAUAAGGAGACAAUAUAUUCUAUGAUUCUAUCUCAAAGGGACUCAUAUCUAUUCUAGCUCAACGGGACUCAUAGUUUAAUCAGACUUCCAAAGGACUGCAUGCGUUCUACCGCAGAAGUUUUAUGCACAUUCAAAUUGGUAACUGUUGCAGAAGUUAUAUUUCUUAACUACGAACUGCGAGGUGUAUUCCGUCUAAGGAACUGUAAUUUUAUCCUUGUUUACUUUAGGUGCAUCUAAGGAAGGUCAUGCAAAAAAGCAGGUUUAUGCGGAAGAGUGCCAUUAUCCCUGCAUCUUAUAUUUUCAGUAGAGAGCUCCGCAAAUUCUUUACUGAGUGAUGAUAAAGCUGAUUUUGUCACCCCAAGUAAAUCUACAGAAAAUAUAAGAUGCUGAGGAUUGUGGAUGAGGUCUCUUUUGAUUCGGUUCACAAUGGAAAGAUGUUUAGCAUCUGGAGGCCUCUAUGCCCUAGUGGGUGUGUCUCAAUUGGAGAUGUUGCUCAUGUUGCAACCCAUCUGCUGCACUUUGCUGCUAUCCACAAAAAUGUCAACGGGAAUUUUGUGCUUCCUCUCGGCUAUGAGCCUAUGACCUGGUUUGGAGAAAUUGCGCUGAGGAUUACAGGAGCCCUGUAUCAUUGUGGCAACCAAGGCCGCCUGAAGGAUACAUGGUUCUGGGAUGUGUGGCUGUGUCUUGUUUCGAGGAGCCGCCUCUUGAUUGCGCCUUCUGUGUGAGUGAGAGAUUUGCAGAAGAUGCACUGUUCGAGGAGCAGAUAGUUUGGGCUUCCUCGGAUGCUUACCCAUGGGGAUGCUACAUUUACCAAGUUCAGAGCAGUUCGCUGCAAUUCAUGGCGCUCCGUCAGCCAAAAGAGGAGUCUCCACAGAAGCCUAAGAAGAUAACAGAGCCGUAUCUCCAGCAAGCAUUGUAAACUCUAUGAUCCUAUGAGGAGAGAAGCAGACAGCACCGUGCAUUGGAGAUAUGAAGAGCGAUGUACAUAAUGUAGGAAAUACGAGUCCAAGAAAACUUUGCUAGGCAUUUUUGUACAGAAGCCCAGCAUUAUGUGACUGAGCAUGGUUUUUUUUCGGGGGAAAGUAAUUUGUUGGCCUGGUUUUGCUUUUUCUGCUUAAUGCUUGGCUUACAGGCUUGAGUGUACAACUUUAGGCAGUAGAUGGGGAGAGUACACACUUCUUAGAUUUUUCCGUUUUCUCUUGUGAGUUCUGAUUGCAAAAGCAGGUUCUUUUAAUCUUCUUCCUAGAAUCUUUCUUCAGCCAAAUAAGGGCAAAGGUCUUUUGAUAU